AAAAAUCCGGGGGGCUAAGCUGAGGCGUGAUGACGAGGAACCACGGUUCCGAAGUGAUUGAUACCAAGCUUCCAGGAAAAGCCACUAAGCUUCAGUCUAGAGUUGACCGUACCGCAAACCGACACAGGUGGGCAGGACGAAAAUUCUAAGGCGCUUGAGAGAACUCAGGAGAAGGAACUCGGCAAAUUAACACCGUAACUUCGGGAGAAGGUGUGCCCCGGUAGCGUGUAGAGACUUGCUCUCGAAGCGCGAUGGGGUUGCAGUGAAAUGGUGGCUGCGACUGUUUAAUUAAAACACAGCACUCUGCAAACACGAAAGUGGACGUAUAGGGUGUGACGCCUGCCCGGUGCCGGAAGGUUAAGUGAUGGGGUGCAAGCUCUUGAUCGAAGCCCCGGUAAACGGCGGCCGUAACGAUAACGGUCCUAAGGUAGCGAAAUUCCUUGUCGGGUAAGUUCCGACCUGCACGAAUGGCGUAACGAUGGCCACACUGUCUCCUCCUGGGACUCAGCGAAGUUGAAAUGUUUGUGAAGAUGCAAUCUACCCGCGGCUAGACGGAAAGACCCCAUGAACCUUUACUGUAGCUUUGCAUUGGACUUUGAACCGGUUUGUGUAGGAUAGGUGGGAGACUGUGAAGCCGGGACGCUAGUUUCGGUGGAGUCAACCUUGAAAUACCACCCUGAUUUGUUUGAGGUUCUAACCUUGGUCCGCGAAUCCGGAUCGGGGACCGUGCAUGGUAGGCAGUUUGACUGGGGCGGUCUCCUCCCAAAAGGUAACGGAGGAGUACGAAGGUACGCUUAGGGCGGUCGGACAUCGCCCACAAAGUGCAAUGGCAAAAGCGUGCUUGACUGCGAGACCCACAAGUCGAGCAGGUACGAAAGUAGGUCAUAGUGAUCCGGUGGUUCUGUAUGGAAGGGCCAUCGCUCAACGGAUAAAAGGUACUCUGGGGAUAACAGGCUAAUUCCUCCCAAGAGUUCAUAUCGACGGGGGAGUUUGGCACCUCGAUGUCGGCUCAUCACAUCCUGGGGCUGUAGUCGGUCCCAAGGGUAUGGCUGUUCGCCAUUUAAAGUGGUACGCGAGCUGGGUUUAAAACGUCGUGAGACAGUUUGUCCCUAUCUGCCGUGGGCGCUGGAAAUUUGAAGGGGGCUGCUCCUAGUACGAGAGGACCGGAGUGGACGAACCUCUGGUGUACCGGUUAUGACGCCAGUCGUAUCGCCGGGUAGCUAAGUUCGGAAGAGAUAAACGCUGAAAGCAUCUAAGCGUGAAACUCGCCUUAAGAUAAGAUUUCCCGGAGUCUUGAACUCCCUGAAGGGUCGUCGAAGACCACGACGUUGAUAGGUCAGGUGUGGAAGCGCAGCAAUGCGUUAAGCUAACUGAUACUAAUUGCCCGUGUGGCUUGAUCC
rnacentral:rRNA from 1 species